rnacentral:rRNA from 1 species
CAGUCGAACGAGACUUUUUAUUUGAUGCUUGCAUCUUUUAAAAAGUUGAGAGGCGAACGGGUGAGUAACACGUGGGUAACCUGCCUUAAAGUGGGGGAUAACACUUGGAAACAGGUGCUAAUACCGCAUAACCAUCAAAACCACCUGGUUUUGAUGUUAAAGAUGGUUCUGCUAUCGCUUUAAGAUGGACCCGCGGCGUAUUAGCUAGUUGGUGAGGUAACGGCUUACCAAGGCAAUGAUACGUAGCCGAACUGAGAGGUUGAUCGGCCACAUUGGGACUGAGACACGGCCCAAACUCCUACGGGAGGCAGCAGUAGGGAAUCUUCCACAAUGGACGAAAGUCUGAUGGAGCAACGCCGCGUGAGUGAAGAAGGUUUUCGGAUCGUAAAACUCUGUUGUCAGAGAAGAACGUGUGUGAGAGUAACUGUUCACGCAGUGACGGUAUCUGACCAGAAAGUCACGGCUAACUACGUGCCAGCAGCCGCGGUAAUACGUAGGUGGCAAGCGUUGUCCGGAUUUAUUGGGCGUAAAGGGAACGCAGGCGGUCUUUUAAGUCUGAUGUGAAAGCCUUCGGCUUAACCGAAGUCGGGCAUUGGAAACUGGGAGACUUGAGUGCAGAAGAGGAGAGUGGAACUCCAUGUGUAGCGGUGAAAUGCGUAGAUAUAUGGAAGAACGCCAGUGGCGAAAGCGGCUCUCUGGUCUGUAACUGACGCUGAGGUUCGAAAGCGUGGGUAGCAAACAGGAUUAGAUACCCUGGUAGUCCACGCCGUAAAUGAUGAAUG